CGAAGAAAGACAUUCAAAGUAGUUAGAACAUAGCCAAUUAUCUCCUGAAACCCCUCACGUCAUUUCCUUCUAUUCAUAUUAAGUCAACGAAAUGAUUAUUGCUCCUUGUUUAGUCGGCAUUGUAUCUUUCAGAGGCUUUUAAAGAGAUCAAAUUGGAUACCAAUUUUCACAAAUAAUUGAAGCCUCAAACGCGAAACAACCAUCUGGACUAACAAUGAACGCCACUUAAGACUCAAUUGGGAAUUAGAAAGAGACUUCAGAAAUCAUAAAGGGAGGUUUUUCGUUUUUUUUCCUUUUUUUUUGGAACGAGGGGCCAAUGCAGUAAAAUUUACAAAUAGCAACACCAACACCACAUAAAUGCCUACAGAACAUUAUAAAUAACAAAAGUAUAGAGCCGAAUCACAUGCCCUUCAAGAUCUAAAAAACAAAAGAAUCAUCAAAUCUUCCAACACUUUUCACCGUACAGUUACACCAAACUACAUCCACCACUCCAUCAUAGAUUCCUAAGCCUUUUAGGUUGUAAUUUUACUCUAUAUUCAGUAACUGGCAAGCAGAUUCAAGCAUUAAUUGCUUAAUAACCAUAUAUCCACCGUCAAUUUGACAGCCACAGAACCCCAUGCAAUGCAAACCAAAACCCGUACUGCAAAACAAAUCCCAAAUCUAAAAAUACUAGUCUCAAUAUUACUUCUCUCUAGUCAAAUCAAAGGCAUUCCAAAACCAAAUUGCUAGUAAGAACCCAAACAGACUUGACACUAGCACUAGUAUU